rnacentral:rRNA from 1 species
UACGUAGGGUGCGAGCGUUGUCCGGAAUUAUUGGGCGUAAAGCGCUCGUAGGCGGUUUGUCGCGUCGGGCGUGAAAACCUUGGGCUUAACUCAGGGCUUGCUUUCGAUACGGGCAGACUAGAGGUAUGCAGGGGAGAACGGAAUUCCUGGUGUAGCGGCGAAAUGCGCAGAUAUCAGGAGGAACACCGGUGGCGAAGGCGGUUCUCUGGGCAUGAUCUGACGCUGAGGAGCGAAAGUGUGGGGAGCGAACAGG